GAGGGUGAUAUUAUAAGGUAUGAUACUAUUGUUAUUUAUUUGGGAAAUAAAUAAUACGGAAUUUAUCGAGAAUCGAAUGAUUAAAGGAUUAGUGGACUAAAUUGGACGAAAUAAAAGUUAUAAAGUGAAAGUUGAGGAGGUGACAAACUCAAGGACUAAAGGAGACUUUUGCCUCACCUAUUUAAGACACUUGCAUAUGAGUUUAAACUCAGCAAGCAUAUCAUUUUCAGCUCCUAAAAUUCGUCCUUCACCCUUUCUCCAUGGAAGAACAUCAAGCAAAUUUCAAAUGGUCAUAACUCACUCAAUUUUGGUCCGAAUUGAGCGAUUCUUGUGGCCACGGAACGAGGGAAGGAUCCUCUACUGAUAUAUAGUAUCAAUUUAAGGUUAUUGAAAGCUUGAAGGGAGUAUUUUGAUGGUUGUUCAUGGAGGAAUUCAUUCAACCAAAGGGUUAUCCCAUCAAGAAAAGGGAUGGUAUGAUAUGAUUUGAAGAGUUAAGCUUCCGAAGUUUUAAUUCUCGGAAGUCAUUUGUAUAAGAAGAAAAAGAAGGUUUUCAUUCUAGCGGUCCGCAGUAGUCUAGAUAUUUUAACUAGAAUUUUGUAUAACGCGUUUUUAACUCUGAUAUUAUUUGUAAAUGGG